rnacentral:lncRNA from 1 species
GCGGGAAGUCUGAAGCCGGUAAACAUGGCCGUCACCGACAGCCUCAGCCGGGCUGCGACUGUCUUGGCAACUGUGUUGCUCUUGUCCUUCGGCAGCGUGGCCGCUAGUCAUAUCGAGGAUCAAGCAGAACAAUUCUUUAGAAGUGGCCAUACAAACAACUGGGCUGUUCUGGUAACUGUGGAGAAUUUUUUACGGGUAUUAACUGGGAGGAUCCCACCUAGUACUCCUCGGUCAAAACGUCUUCUUUCUGAUGACAGAAGCAAUAUUCUAAUUUAUAUGACAGGGCAUGGUGGAAAUGGUUUCUUAAAAUUUCAAGAUUCUGAAGAAAUUACCAACAUAGAACUCGCGGAUGCUUUUGAACAAAUGUGGCAGAAAAGACGCUACAAUGAGCUACUGUUUAUUAUUGAUACUUGCCAAGGAGCAUCCAUGUAUGAACGAUUUUAUUCUCCUAACAUAAUGGCUCUAGCUAGUAGUCAAGUGGGAGAAGAUUCACUCUCGCAUCAACCUGAUCCUGCAAUUGGAGUCCAUCUUAUGGAUAGAUACACAUUUUAUGUCUUGGAAUUUUUGGAAGAAAUUAACCCAGCUAGCCAAACUAAUAUGAAUGACCUUUUUCAGGUAUGUCCCAAAAGUCUGUGUGUGUCUACUCCUGGACAUCGCACUGAUCUUUUUCAGAGGGAUCCUAAAAAUGUACUGAUAACUGAUUUCUUUGGAAGUGUACGGAAAGUGGAAAUUACAAC